rnacentral:lncRNA from 8 species
AUGUUUCUGGAUAAAGUCACUGCGAGCCUGAAAUUGAGUGAGGAAGUGUUACUGCAGUGCACACAGGGAGCUCAUCAUGACAAUGAGAAUUCUGCUGAGUGCCUGAGAGGGAUGAAAGCUGCUGCACAGAACAUCAGCUCUCAGGGGGUCUUUCAGAGUUGGUGGAGCUGUCAUCGCUGGUCAGUCGCCAGACUGUUCAGAUUGGCUUGGCUUGACCAAAAAGUGCCCCAAACAGUGAAGCAGCAUUGGAGAACCUUGUAUGGCAUGUACAGUCUAUAGUUUUUGUUAACAUAGUUUAAUUACUGAACAUGGGGAUUGUUUUGUAAAACUUUAUAAUAAAUUGUAUACCUCAAUAUGUAAUGUAUUUUACAUACUUUUCAAGUGACUUGAUAUUGUAAGACAUUUCCGUCACCUCGGAAGUGUUUCAAUUGUAAAUAUUUGUAUCCGUAUGAUAUUGCUGCAAGGAUACAUUGUAGCGCCGUUACUGAAUUGAUACAUGUGACAAAUUAUUGCUAAAGUUCCGUUCGCCGGAUGUGACGUCGAAGCUAUCGCGAUAAACGUGGAAUUCGUUGUUGCUUAUUGGCUCAUUCUGGCAAGUGACGU